UUCCCCUGUACCGCGGACAGAGUCUCCCCUGUACGUUCAAGGCGUCGCAAUCAAUACACUGUACGAAGUUCCAACCAGCAACACAUUUCAACCAAAGAUUGCAUAAGGAAGUAUCAAAACAUAAAUCUACUUGCUAUUACAAGCAUUCACACUCAUACAUCUUUACAUCACAAUUCUCAUUUGAUUCUUACAUUAGGUUUCACUUAACUUCCAAAUACAAUCCAAUUAUUAUAAAUUUACUACAA
rnacentral:lncRNA from 1 species